rnacentral:sRNA from 1 species
GUGAGGUCUGCAAGAUGGCACUCAACAUGAACAACUACAAAGGCUAUGAAAAGAAGCCCUAUUGUAAUGCUGCUUACAGGUAGACCAGAAACUUUUCAAGAAAUCAGAAAAUGGGGGCAUUGAACAGAAUUCAGGACUUUCUUGGAGAGGGGAAGUCCACAGAUAUUCCCCAAACUUUCUGAUGUCUUCGAUCCUCCUAUACCGUGCUUCCUACUGGAAUAGCGUGAAGCAAAAAUGAGGUUUCAGUGUCAUGAUUUCCUGCUUCCCUUCCAGAGAGCCAUAAACGACUGGUUAAAGAUCAAAGGCAGGCAUAAGGAGAAGGGAAAGGGCCCCAACCACCCAUAAACGGGAUAAUUGUUCUUCGGUUAAAGGAAAGUGAACCAUUCUUCCUGUAACUGUUUCAGGGGGCAGCCUGAUUCCAUCAGGCUUUAUGGACCACAUCAGGAUUCAGGAUUCUUUACAGGGCAGGGCCAGGAAUUUAACCCCAGUGAUAACAAUGCCUUUGGGUGGCCCUGGUAGGCCUGAAGGGAUUGGGA